UACGUAGGUGGCAAGCGUUGUCCGGAUUUCCUGGGCGUAAAGAGCGCGCAGGCGGUCGAAUAAGUCGAAUGUGAAAGCCCCCGGCUCAACUGGGGAGGGUCAUUCGAUACUGUUCGACUUGAAGGCAGGAGAGAGAAGCAGAAUUCCCGGUGUAGUGGUGAAAUGCGUAGAUAUCAGGAGGAACACCGGUGGCGAAGGCGGGUCUCUGGGCAGUAACUGACGCUGAGGAGCGAAGGCGUGGGGAGCGAACAGG
rnacentral:rRNA from 1 species